rnacentral:rRNA from 1 species
GACGAACGCUGGCGGCGUGCCUAACACAUGCAAGUCGAACGAGGUCCAAGGAGUGCUUGCACUCCUGAAGACCUAGUGGCGAACGGGUGAGUAACACGUGAGAAACCUGCCCCGGACUCUGGGAUAACUCAAGGAAACUUGAGCUAAUACCGGAUACCCUCCUGCGGUCGCAUGGCUGCUUGAGGAAAGUUUUUCGGUCUGGGAGGGUCUCGCGGCCUAUCAGCUAGUUGGUGAGGUAACGGCUCACCAAGGCGACGACGGGUAGCUGGUUUGAGAGAACGAUCAGCCACACUGGAACUGAGACACGGUCCAGACUCCUACGGGAGGCAGCAGUGGGGAAUCUUGCGCAAUGGGCGAAAGCCUGACGCAGCAACGCCGCGUGCGGGAUGACGGCCU